ACCGCUGAACCAGUUUCAUGCUUAGGAUUGUGAAGUGAAACUGUUCAUAUGAACUGGGAAUUCCCAGUAAGUGUUAGUCAUUAACUUGCAUUGAUUACGUCCCUGCCUUUUGUACACACCGCACGUCGCUACUACUGAUUGAAUUAUUUAGUGAGGUCUCCGGACGAGAUCACUGUGACGCCUUGUGGGUUGCGGUUGUUUCGCAAAAGGUGACCGAACGUGAUAAUUUAGAUGAUGUAAAAGUCGUAAAAAGGUUUUCGUAGAGGAACCUGCGGAAGGAUCAUUA
rnacentral:ncRNA from 1 species